GACGAACGCUGGCGGCGUGCUUAACACAUGCAAGUCGAACGGAAAGGCCCUGCUUUUGUGGGGUGCUCGAGUGGCGAACGGGUGAGUAACACGUGAGUAACCUGCCCUUGACUUUGGGAUAACUUCAGGAAACUGGGGCUAAUACCGGAUAGGAGCUCCUGCUGCAUGGUGGGGGUUGGAAAGUUUCGGCGGUUGGGGAUGGACUCGCGGCUUAUCAGCUUGUUGGUGGGGUAGUGGCUUACCAAGGCUUUGACGGGUAGCCGGCCUGAGAGGGUGACCGGCCACAUUGGGACUGAGAUACGGCCCAGACUCCUACGGGAGGCAGCAGUGGGGAAUAUUGCACAAUGGGCGGAAGCCUGAUGCAGCAACGCCGCGUGCGGGAUGACGGCCUUCGGGUUGUAAACCGCUUUCGCCUGUGACGAAGCGUGAGUGACGGUAAUGGGUAAAGAAGCACCGGCUAACUACGUGCCAGCAGCCGCGGUGAUACGUAGGGUGCGAGCGUUGUCCGGAUUUAUUGGGCGUAAAGGGCUCGUAGGUGGUUGAUCGCGUCGGAAGUGUAAUCUUGGGGCUUAACCCUGAGCGUGCUUUCGAUACGGGUUGACUUGAGGAAGGUAGGGGAGAAUGGAAUUCCUGGUGGAGCGGUGGAAUGCGCAGAUAUCAGGGGGAACACCAGUGGCGAAGGCGGUUCUCUGGGCCUUUCCUGACGCUGAGGAGCGAAAGCGUGGGGAGCGAACAGGCUUAGAUACCCUGGUAGUCCACGCUGUAAACGGUGGGUACUAGGUGUGGGGUCCAUUCCACGGGUUCCGUGCCGUAGCUAACGCUUUAAGUACCCCGCCUGGGGAGUACGGCCGCAAGGCUAAAACUCAAAGGAAUUGACGGGGCCCCGCACAAGCGGCGGAGCAUGCGGAUUAAUUCGAUGCAACGCGUAGAACCUUACCUGGGUUUGACAUGGAUCGGGAGUGCUCAGAGAUGGGUGUGCCUCUUUUGGGGUCGGUUCACAGGUGGUGCAUGGCUGUCGUCAGCUCGUGUCGUGAGAUGUUGGGUUAAGUCCCGCAACGAGCGCAACCCUUGUUCACUGUUGUCAGCACGUUAUGGUGGGGACUCAGUGGAGACCGCCGGGGUCAACUCGGAGGAAGGUGGGGAUGACGUCAAGUCAUCAUGCCCCUUAUGUCCAGGGCUUCACGCAUGCUACAAUGGCUGGUACAGAGAGUGGCGAGCCUGUGAGGGUGAGCGAAUCUCGGAAAGCCGGUCUCAGUUCGGAUUGGGGUCUGCAACUCGACCUCAUGAAGUCGGAGUCGCUAGUAAUCGCAGAUCAGCAACGCUGCGGUGAAUACGUUCCCGGGGCU
rnacentral:rRNA from 1 species